GAUGAACGCUGGCGGCGUGCCUAAUACAUGCAAGUCGAGCGAACGGACGAGAAGCUUGCUUUUCUGAUGUUAGCGGCGGACGGGUGAGUAACACGUGGAUAACCUACCUAUAAGACUGGGAUAACUUCGGGAAGCCGGAGCUAAUUCCGGAUAAUAUUUUGAACCGCAUGGUUCAAAAGUGAAAGACGGUCUUGCUGUCACUUAUAGAUGGAUCCGCGCUGCAUUAGCUAGUUGGUAAGGUAACGGCUUACCAAGGCAACGAUGCAUAGCCGACCUGAGAGGGUGAUCGGCCACACUGGAACUGAGACACGGUCCAGACUCCUACGGGAGGCAGCAGUAGGGAAUCUUCCGCAAUGGGCGAAAGCCUGACGGAGCAACGCCGCGUGAGUGAUGAAGGUCUUCGGAUCGUAAAACUCUGUUAUUAGGGAAGAACAUAUGUGUAAGUAACUGUGCACAUCUUGACGGUACCUAAGCAGAAAGCCACGGCUAACUACGU
rnacentral:rRNA from 1 species